AUUGAACGCUGGCGGAAUGCUUUACACAUGCAAGUCGAGCGGCAGCACGGGGGCAACCCUGGUGGCGAGCGGCGAACGGGUGAGUAAUACAUCGGAACAUGCCCAGUCGUGGGGGAUAACACUUCGAAAGAAGUGCUAAUACCGCAUACGUCCUGAGGGAGAAAGCGGGGGAUCGCAAGACCUCGCGCGAUUGGAGUGGCCGAUGUCAGAUUAGCUAGUUGGUGGGGUAAAGGCCUACCAAGGCAACGAUCUGUAGCUGGUCUGAGAGGAUGAUCAGCCACACUGGGACUGAGACACGGCCCAGACUCCUACGGGAGGCAGCAGUGGGGAAUUUUGGACAAUGGGGGCAAACCUGAUCCAGCCAUUCCGCGUGAGUGAAGAAGGCCUUCGGGUUGUAAAGCUCUUUCGGCAGGAACGAAACGGUGAGCUCUAACAUAGCUCGCUAAUGACGGUACCUGAAGAAGAAGCACCGGCUAACUACGUG
rnacentral:rRNA from 1 species